rnacentral:rRNA from 1 species
UUGACCGUACCCUAAACCGACACAGGUGAACGAGUCGAAUAGACUCAGGUGAUGAGAGAACCACAUUGAAGGAACUCGGCAAAAUAUUCCCGUACCUUAGGAAGAAGGGAAACCAAGUAUGGUGACACAAAAAUGGGGGUGACGACUUUUUACUAAAAAAUUAGGACUCUGCAAAAUGGGAACAUGAAGUAUAGGGUCUGACGCCUGCCCGGUGCUUGAAGCUUAACCUGUAUGCUUUUUUGGUAUAUUGAGAAGGCCUAGUAAACGGCGGUUGUAACUAUAACAAUCAUAAAGUAGCGAAAUUCAUUGUCAGCUAAUUCCUGACCUGCAUGAAAGGCGUAACGAUUGCCCCACUGUCUCCAGUAUGGACUCAGUGAAAUUGAAUUCUCCGUGCAGAUGCGGAGAACGUGCCCCAAGACGAGAAGACCCUAUGCAUCUUUACUGUACAUUUACACUGGAAAAAAGCUUAAAUUGUGUAGGAUAGGUGGGAGUUGACAACAACCUUGAAAUACCACCCUUUUUAAGAAGAGUUCCUUAUUUGAACAAGGUUCAAAAACACUGUAUAUGAGGCAGUUUGACUGGGGCGGUCGCCUCCCAAAGAGUAACGGAGGUGUGCGAAGGUAAACUCAAUGAAAGACGGAAACUUUCUGUAGAGCGUAAUGGUAAAAGUUUGCCUGACUGCGAGAGUGACACCUCGAGCAGAGACGAAAGUCGGCCAUAGUGAUCCAAAAGUGCUGCGUGGAAAGACUUUUGCUUAACGAAUCAAAGAUACGCUAGGGAUAACAGGCUAAUAAUUCCCAAGAGCCCUUAUCGACGGAAUUGUUUGGCACCUCGAUGUUGACUGAUCAUAUCCUGGGGCUGAAAAAGGUCCCAAGGGUUCGGCUGUUCGCCGAUAAAAAUGGUACCUGAGUUGAGUUUAGAACGUCGUGAGACAGUUUGGAUUCUACCUGGGGUGCGCGUGAAGAAUUGAGAAAACCAUUUCCUUGUACGAGAGGACCGGAAAUGUUCAACCUCUGGUGCACUGGUUGUUCUGCCAAGAGCAUUGCCGGGUAGCUACGUUGAGAGAGGAGAACCGUUGAAAGCAUCUUAAAUGGGAAACUUUUUUCAAGACAAAUUCUUAGACCCACGUGAAAGUCUCUCACGUCAAUAGGCGAAGCGUGAACCUUUUGAAAAAAAGAAGCUGAUUCGUACUAAAAUGACCCUUAGAGCUCAAAUGA